CUGUGUGUCUGUGAUCUGUUGAUGAGGGUGGCGAAGGACUACUCAAUCAACUGGGGUGUACAAAAUGGAGUUUGAGAAGGGCAUGCUGAUGCAAGAGGUGGGCUCCAUGGCCUUGGGCAGAUCUGCUCCUGUGGAUUUUCCUGGUACAGCCCUUCUUCCUGCUGCUUUCAUAGCUGGUGAUGAGUAUCUGUGGCUUUUCCAGGUCUCACAUCUAAGUCGUUUUGAAGCAAAGUCCAAGCAUUGUAUCAUUUCCUCUGCAAAUAUUUUAAUAAGUACCCAAAAGGCCCUUUGUGAUGCAUAUGGAGAUUGGAUGCCCAGAUCCUCUUCAACUAAGGAUUCCCUGCUUUGUCGCUUGGCCACAACUGCUGUUAAACCAAGGUCCUCUACUAUGUUUAAGACCAUGUAGUCUACCAACAGUAUAUCUCAUAAAGAAUAUAUUCAAUAUGGAGUCUCGCUUCUUCACCCAAGCUGGAGUGCAGUGGUGAGAUCUUGGCUUAUUGCAACCUCCACCUCUUGGGUUCAAGCAAUUCUCCUGCCUCAGCCUCCCCAGAGGCUGGGAUUACAGGCAUGUGCUACCACGCCUGGAUAAUUUUUGUAUUUUUAGUAGAGAUGGGGUUUCACCCUGUUGGCUAGGCUGAUCUGCAACUCCUGAUCUCAAGUGAUCCACCUGCCUCAGUCUCUCAAAGUGAUGAGAUCACCGACGUGAGCCACUGCACCUGGCCCAGAAUAACUUAAUUUCUUUUCAAAGCUUUUCAAUCCAGCUUUUGAAUAUUUGUGUUUUCUAACUUACUGUAGCCACUACAGAGUGCUAAAAGUAUGUGGUCCCAUGCAGUAGGAGCAAAAGCUCCUUCAUACCUAUUUACAUUAUUAGAGAGAAAACAAUUUCCUUAAAGAAAUCCACAGGUGAUAGUUUUUGAGUUAAUAUUAUGUGUUUGGUACUGUGUCAGAUGGUAUAAAGGUAAAUGAAGACAUGGACAUGUGAUCAAGGAGUUAAUCUAAAGAGACAAAAUAUUUCAAAUUGCUCAUGUUUUAAAUAACAAAAGAAAUACUUAAAAGUCAAAUUAAUUGUUCUACACGUCCAGUUAAAGAAGGCCCUUCAGACCUCAAUGAUUAAGAAUGGUUAGCUUUAGCUGAGUCUCGGACAGGUAGGAUUUGAGUGGGUGGGAAGAGGGGUGUUAGCGUUCCAGAUUGGUGGUGGCGGUGGGGCAGAGGGUGAGGGGUUGGGUAGAAAAAAUUGAAUGCAAGAAUUGCAGAAUAUAUUCAGAAAACAAUUAAUAAAUAGGCUUGGGAAAGAUUUUGUGAAGCA
rnacentral:lncRNA from 13 species